AUGAUAUAGUUCGAUUCACUGUAGAGUUGUGAAGAGUAUAUAGCUUGUAAGAUAACUACUUGAAAGAUUUGAGUUUUUUAAAUAUCUUUAAAAAUAAUCAGUUAUGAAAGCAGUAUAAUAACUGUAAUUGGAAAGUAUAUUAUCCAUACCCGCACUUAUCAAACAGUAAUUUUCAUUCUUUAGUUUUAGAUUUUUUCAAUAAAAAGAUUUCCUAUUAGUCCUUGUUUAAGUGUCAUAGAACUAUUCACACAAUGUGAAUUAUUAGCUGUUAGGUUUUAAGUGCAAUUUGAUGUAAUGCUGGUUAUUCCAGAAUAUUUUUAGUGACACAGAAAUGUGUGGUAUUAAAAUGUUUCUAUAAGUGAAUGUGGAAAUGAGGGUACAUAUGAUUGUGAAUGGAGACAGAGUUAUAGU
rnacentral:lncRNA from 1 species